AUUAUUGUCCACCUCUCUCUACAUUGCAUUCAAAACCACUUAUAUUUUUCUGGUACAAAAAUAUUUUUUGCAUGUACCGUGCAAACAGUCCACGUAACUUGACAGGUCUAGCAUGCUUUGCUUCUUCCAUGUCACCUCCUCAUAUGGACAACUAACCUUUUGUCAAAAUCCAUUUCUCAUAAAUGUGAUUUGCUUAGGCAAAUAAACUGUUUGUUCUAUAGGUUUCUGAAGUUUAGUUCAUUUUACUAGAUCCUGUCAACGGACACAAUGUUGAACUAAUUGUCAUGUUAGGGUUUGUGAAGAAAUUGUUCCUGGACGGUUUACAAACAUUUUCAGCGUAUACAUCAAAAAAAUGCAGCUACCUAUGUCUAAAUCUUUUCUGCAUAAUCUCUUUUAUGUUUUGGAUUCCUAUAUGUAUUUACCCUAUCUUGUAUCUAUGGUGGUGUUGUUUAGGGUUAAUAGUCAUCAUAACAGACACUAGAAUUAUAUGGCCGAGAAGGAGAUGGAUGGAAGACAGUCUCUGCAACUUUGUAUAGAGGCUCUGAUGCCCUCGGUAGCAUGGGUAAAAAGCAUGAAUGGCUUUGUUUUUUUCUCAUAUUUAGUGUUUUGUUUGCCUGGUUUGCACAUUUAGGGUUUAACUCGUGCCACAUUAUUGAUUGAAGAAAUAGGAGGAGAAGAAUCAAAGUGACUGCUAUGAGAAUUUUGGGCCUACUGAACAAGCCACACAUUAGGUUCGGGAAUCCAGUCAAAGCAGGAGUUUCUGUUUGGGAAAUUUGAUAUGCGUAUGAAGUUAGCAAGUGGAGAUUCUACAGGCACAGUUACUACAUUUUAUUUCCAUUCCGGAUGAGACGAGCAGUAACUUCGCUGGUUCCAUGCUACCACCUUAGAUUUAACUCUAAAACCAUAUGCAAUAUAUGUGGGGAGCGCCCUUAGUAUAUGGGAUGUGGGAGACGUGGCGUCGGGAUUGCUCUCAAGUCUGCAGCCUUCUUUAAUGUAAUUCCAAAAUCAUCGCUCAUGUCCAUCUGCUCACAGCUCAUCCCAUCCGGAAGUUUCCACUCAAAUGAGUGAAUUAAAGAAGCCAAAACGAAAUGAACAAUACAACUUGCCAAUGGAAGCCCCGGACACAUUCUUCGUCCCGCUCCGAAUGGAAUCAGCUCGAAGUCUUGUCCCCUGUAAUCUAUCUUGCUAUUCUCACCCUCUAAAAACCUUUCGGGCGUAAAUUCCAAAGGAUUCUUCCAAAUUGCAGGGUCCCUUCCCAUAGCCCACACGUUCACCAUCACCUGGGUGUCCUUGGGUAUAACAAAUCCUCCAAUCUCGCAGCUGCUUGUGGCUUUGUGGGGGAGAAGCAGAGGACCCGUCGUGCGCAAUCGGAGUACUUCUUUCACGGCUGCAUGGAGAUACGGAAGACGAUCCAAGUCAGUUCCACUUUCCGGUUGCAACCAACUACUUCAUCCAGUUCUUGACGGGCUCGGUUUAAUUUCUGUGGAUUGCGAAUCAAUUCUGCCAUGGCCCAUUCUAUUGUUGUAGUGGUCGUCUCAGUACCUGCAAUAAACAAUUCCUGAAACCAUAGAGCACAAUCAGAGGUCUGGAAAAUAGCAGAGAUAUAUUUAUAUACCCUAAUUAAUUUGCUUUUAAUCUUUUCAGUACUCGUAGCUAUUAAUGCUCGAACACAAGAAGAGUGAAAUCUUCAGUUCUGGAAUCCAGCAGAACAUCGAGAAAAUCCUUGUCCGAGUCCUUACGCUGAACGCUUUGGCUGAGCCUUUUCUAUAUGAAUGUAUCAGAGAAGUCAUACAAUUCCUUGAAAAGCCUGUCCAUCUCACGGGACACUCGCUGGGGGUCGAGGAAUCGGAGAAACGGGAAAAAGUCCACCAAAUUGGGCUUUCUGGCGACCACCAUCAAUUCACAGAUGGUAUCUUUGAGCCCCGCAGAAGCUGGAUUGUGAGGAUCAAAGACACUUGUGCUGAAAAUCAUGUUGCCUAACAAAUUCAGAGACGUGCAGAACACCGUAUGAGCGAUAUUCACAACCUUUCCUUUGUCCUCGAAAAUGAGUCGAAUGGUGCUAAAUACUUGAUCUCUUCUGAGAUGUUGCAGAGCUUCGAGUCUUUUGGGGCUGAAGAGCUCAACAGUUGAAAUGGGACGGAGAUGGCGCCAGUAAGGACCGUAAUCAGCGCAAAUUAGGGAGGACUUGUCAUGUGAAAGAGAUUUGUGUGCCUCUGUCACCAUCCGCCCCGCCAAGAUGUUGUCGUGCGUUUUAAAGACCUCCUUGGCCAUGGCAGGAGAGGAGACCACCACUACUGUUCUCAUGCCCAGACGGAGAGUCAUCAGUGGACCGUAUUUCAGAGAGAGGGCAUAGAGAGACUCGUGAGGCUUAUUCCUCAGCUGAAGCAGAUUUCCCAGUAUAGGCCAACCACUAGGCCCAGGGGGCAGAGAAAGACUCCGCUCUCUUCUCCAUAGAAAGAAGAAGAACAAUAUCAGUAAAGCAGCAGUAAGAAGCAUAGAAUACCAAGAAAACAGUGGAAUAUCCAUAUUUUAUAGGCAGAAUCCGUACCAGCACUUGAUUGCAGGUCGCAGCACGUUUUUGUUUGUCUAGACUUUUAUACCAGUGUUGCACACUUUUUGAGUGCACUAGUUUGAAUCAACAAGCUUUUGGAGUGCACUAGUUUGAAGCUUUACAACACGUUUUUGGAGUGCACUAGUUUGAAUUCUUGAUCUAUCUGUACAAAAAGACAUAAGAGAUAUCACUUUCAUUGCCUAAAUUACAUGAAUAGUGUCUCUGAAUUAUUGUCAUGUCUGCCUUUUAGUAAG